GGGACGGGCCUUUCAGGCAUCCUCUCCUAAAAACUUUCAUAGCCGUCCUUCGGGACGGCUUUUUUUUUGUUCUCG
rnacentral:sRNA from 1 species